AUCGAACGCUGGCGGCAGGCCUAACACAUGCAAGUCGAACGAGGGGCGGACGGGUGAGUAAUGUAUGGGAAACUGCCCGAUGGAGGGGGAUAACUACUGGAAACGGUAGCUAAUACCGCAUACCAUCGGAUGUGCCCAGAUGGGAUUAGCCAGUAGGUGGGGUAACGGCUAACCUAGGCGACGAUCCAUAGCUGGUCUGAGAGGAUGACCGGCCCCACUGGAACUGAGACACGGUCCAGACUGCUACGGGGAGCAGCAGUGGGGGAUCUUGCACAAUGGGGGCAACCCUGAUGAAGGAACGCCGGGUGCGGGAUGACGGCCGUCGGGUUGUGAACCUCUUUCAGCCAUGACGCGGUAGUGGCAGAAGGAGCACCGGCUAACUACGUGCCAGCAGCCGCGGUAAUAC
rnacentral:rRNA from 1 species